rnacentral:rRNA from 1 species
UACGUAGGGUGCGAGCGUUGUCCGGAAUUACUGGGCGUAAAGGGUGCGUAGGUGGUUUCUUAAGUCAGAGGUGAAAGGCUACGGCUCAACCGUAGUAAGCCUUUGAAACUGGGAAACUUGAGUGCAGGAGAGGAGAGUGGAAUUCCUAGUGUAGCGGUGAAAUGCGUAGAUAUUAGGAGGAACACCGGUGGCGAAGGCGGGUCUCUGGGCAGUAACUGACGCUGAGGAGCGAAAGCAUGGGUAGCGAACAGGAUUAGAUACCCUGGUAGUCCCUGAG